CAAGUAGACAAGGCAAUCGCCCCGCUAGUACAUGUACCGGCGGGGAGGAAAGUCCGAACACCUUCUUGAAAGAAAAAUUGUCUUUCAGAAACGUUCCGGGUAAUACCCGGCCGGAGUAAUCCGAGUGGUGCGAACAGAGACGCCGAAAUCCGAAAGGAUUGAGGCCUUCCGCUUUUAGCGGGAGGAGUCCCGUCGUAAGGCGGGAAGUGAAACGGCUAAAUCCUGACGGGGUGCAAGAACAAAACCCAGCGAGAUAAAAUCAUCAUCUCACGGGGUGAAAAGUAGUUCGCCUGAGCCCGAGAGUAAUCUCUGGCCUAGAUAGAUGGUUGCCCAAAACAGAAUUCGGCUUAUUGUCUGCUUGGGCU
rnacentral:RNase_P_RNA from 1 species